AUUCCAGCUCCAAUAGCGUAUAUUAAAGUUGUUGCAGUUAAAACGCUCGUAGUUGGAUUUCUGACUUCAGAUACCUGACCCUCCCUCGCUAGAGGUGUGUGUGCCGGAGUAUUUGUAUCGUCCUUUCAGUGAUCGGCUCUACCCUUAACCGGGUCGGAGCUGCUAGCUGGAUCUUUUACUUUGAAGAAAUUGGAGUGUUUAAAGCAGGCUUACGCCAGAACAUAUUAGCAUGGAAUAAUAAUUUAGGACUUUUGUUCUAUUUUGUUGGUUUCUAGGACGAAAGUAAUGAUUGAUAGGGAUAGUUGGGGGUGCUAGUAUUCGGCGGCCAGAGGUGAAAUUCUUUGAUCCGCUGAAGACUAACUUAUGCGAAAGCAUUCACCAAGGAUGUCUUCAUUA
rnacentral:rRNA from 1 species